CGGCAGGGCGGCAGGGCGCGGUGGUUUUCGCCUGUAAUCCCAGCUCUUUGGGAAGCCGAGGCAGGCGGAUCACGAGGUCAGGAGAUCGAGACUAUCCUGGCUAACACGGUGAAACCCCGUCUCUACUAAAAAUACAAAAAAUUAGCCGCGCGUGGUGGCGGGCGCCUGUAGUCCCAACUACUCGGGAGGCUGAGGCAGUCUUGAACCCCGGAGGCGGAGGUUGCAGUGAGCCGAGAUCGCGCCACUGCACUCCAGCCUGGGCGACAGAGGGAGACUCUGUCUCAAAAAAAAAAAAAAAGAAGAAGAAGAAGAAGAAGAAAGAAGAAAGAAGAAGAAAGAGAGGCAGGGCGCUGCGCACCUCGCCGGGCGUGCGGGGACGUUGUAGUCUCUUAACGGCUCCCGGCUCUCUGGUCGCCUGGCUGCAGGACUACAAUUCCAGCAGGCACCGGGCUCAGUGGGAGGGGCAGGGUGGUGUGGACCUGGCAAAGCAGUGCUGCCCGCUCACCCCCUGCUGCCCUGUCUCCAUGGGGAGUGAGUUUGGAGAGAGAUAUAAGGGAUAAAUCUGGGCUUUUGCCCAAAUCUGGCAGGUCCUACCUCCGGCUGAGCAGCUCUUCCUCUCUUUAUCCUUAUCCGCUGGUUUUUCCAUGGCAUCGCGCCUCCUUCAGCCCAUGGAGCCGCCUGCUUUCCUAAACUACUACAGAAACUGGCCUGAUGGCUGUCUGAGACAUUGUACAUUGUGCCACCGGCCUCUGCUUACUCCAGGCAGAGCGCCAGUUCAGCAGCAUUUGGGAGAAAUUUGCUGCCUGGGCCGCCCGUAAACAACUUGAGCUUUGCAGUGGGUAACAUGGGCUGUGGUUUGGUGAAAAUGUCAACCUCACUGACCCCUUUUUCGUGGAAGUAGAAGUCGAGACAUGAGGGAGAGUAAUUAUUGGCUUACCCGGGAUCUGCUAAAAGCAGAGGAGAAAGCCCCAGUGUUUCCAGGCAUGUGUCUGGGUGGGCCAUUUUUACCAACCCAUUUAAGGGGCUAGGCCUCCAAAAAUCAACCUAAAGGUAAUGAUUGUUUUGAUAUUUUACACAUGUGAUCAUGGCUUCAUCUCACCUUAGACCUGACUGGCCAGUGUCUCAAAGACAUAGAUGGUGACCAGCUCUCUCUGGAACAGAUGGCACUCCAGCUUUGUGGGAGCAACUUUCAAGAAAAGAUUAAGACAUCACUGGGCCAAGCACCCACAUGAUGUCACUCGCCUGCCUGCAUUCUGCCUACAGUGGGUAUUGUGACAUAUCCCUGGCACAGAACCAAGAGUCUCGCUCUGUCACUCAGGCUGGAGUGCAGUGGCAUGAUCUCAGCCCGCUGCAACCUUCGCCUUCCAGGUUCAAGCAGUUCUCCUGCCUCAGCUCUUGGACAAAACUUCAGCACUCCUGCUAGGGUGUGUCUGCCCUACUAAGACACUGUGCGCAGGUGGAGUUGAGGCUCUUAUGUAUGGAUCCUGUCCACUGUUGAGAUUGUGAAUUGCAUGUGUAGACUCAACUCACAGGAGGUGUUGACUCACAAACCUCCAGCUGGGACAUGUGCAGGAUUAGAAAUUUUAUUUCUGGAUCUUUCUUCAGAAGGCGUUGUAACAUCUCACUAAGCCCAGCACUCAGGCGAUGUGGCUUUCCUGCUAUGGCACUGCACACAAGAAGAAUGUUGACAUAUUCCUGGCCCAGAAUUCAGGUGGAGAUGGAGCUCUCAUGCACGGAUCCUGUCCGAUGUUAAGACUGUGUCUCGUGUAUUUGGAUGCAACUCACAAGAGGUGUUGACUCUCAGACCUAAAGCUGGGAAAUAUGUAGAAUUGUGAAAUUUAUUCCUGGUCCUUCCCGCAGGUGUGAUUGUGGCGUAUAUGUUCACACAGCACUUAAUUUAUUUUACAAUUUGUUUGAACUCAGCCAACUGUUGGGACUGUGACAUAUACCUGGACCAAGUUCCUAGGUGAUGUAACUCUCCAGCCUGGGCCUUACCACAGGGUACAUUGUGACAUAUCUUUGGACUUAUCACCUAUGUGAUGUGACUCUACUGACUUGCCUUGUCUUGGCCUCCAUUGGGGAUUGUGGCAUAUUUCUGUGCCCAGUACCUAAGUUAUGUGACUCUUCUUUCCUGCUUGUGCAUUUAGAAGGGAUUGUGACAUAUUGCUGGGCCAAGAACCUAGGUGAUGUGACUCUCCUGCCUUGGCCCUGCCUUCAGGAAAAAUUGUGAUGUGACUCUGGGUUUAUUACCUAGAUGAUGUGACUCUUGUGUUCUGCAUGGGCAAGCCCAAAGGGGUCAUUGUGGCAUAUCUCUGGGCACAUCAAAGAAGUGGUGUAAUUUUUCUCUCAUUCCAGGACUCUAGUCUCAGUAGGGAUUGUGACAUAUCACUGGGCCCAUAACCUAUGUCAUGUGAUUCUAGUAUCCUGCUUGGGCCCUGCUUACAGGAAAGAUUGUGACAUUUGGCUGGGCCCAUCACCUAGUUAAUGUGACUCUCCUUUUCUUCCUGUGCCCUGCCCUCAGUGGAGAUUGUGACAAAUUUCUGGGCCAAUCAGCUGUGCAAUAUGACUCUGCUCUUUCCUGGGCCCUGCUAUCGGGGAGCAUUGUGACAUAUUGCCAGGCUCAGCACCUAGGUAAUGUGACUCUUCUUGCUGCCUGGGCCCUACUUACAGAAGGGAUUUUGAUGUAUUGCUGAACCAAGAAUUCAGAUGAUGUGACUCUCCUGCCUGUGCGCUGUCUACAGUGGGCAUUGUGACAUAUCAUUGGUGAUGUGACUCUCCUGCCUUGUUCCUGCCCACAGGUGAAAUUGUGGCAUAUACCUGGGUCCAGAUCACAGGCACAAUGAUGACUCUCUUACCUGGACACAGCCAGUGGGAAAUAUUUUGACUUUUGUAGCCAGGCUUAGGGCCACAGGUAAUGUCCUGGGUCUCUUACUUGUAUAAAAUUUACAGAACAUUACAACACUCAGGACUAUCAUAGGAAGACCUACAGUGAUACAGAGAGUUGAUAACAGGGCCUAGCUAACAGCUGAGAUUGUGACUCUCAUAUGCAGACCCAGCCUACAGGCUCUUCAUUCUUACACAUAAACAGAGCCUAUGAAUGUGGCACUUAAUCUCACACAUAAACACAGUUGCAAGUUGGAUUUGUUACUCUCAUAUGUGGAUCUGGUUUCCAGGUGGUUUGGUGACUCUCAAACCAUGAUUCAGCAGACCUGUGAGGCUGUGAGUUCCCUAUCAGAACACAAUCUGCAGGUUGUAUUGUGCCAUAUACCUGGGACCAAAUUACAAGCACAAUGAUGAAUCUUUUACCUGGAGUCAAGACAUGGGCAGGAUGAUGGAACUUAUCACUGGACCUUUCCACAGUGUUAUUGUGACAUAUGCCUUUGCCCAACAUGUGGUGAUUUGACUCCCCAGACUGGGUCCAGUUCACAAAUAAAAUUGUGCCGUAUACUUGGCCAAGAACCUAAUAGGUGUAAUUGAUGUGCCUGGG
rnacentral:lncRNA from 1 species